rnacentral:rRNA from 1 species
GAUGAACGCUGGCGGCGUGCCUCAAACAUGCAAGUCGAGCGGGGCUAUGUAAUAUCGCAAGGUAGAACAUAGCCUAGCGGCGAACGGGUGAGUAACACGUGGGUAACCUGCCUGGAAGACAGGGAUAACGAUUCGAAAGGGUCGCUAAUACCUGAUAAUAUCCUUUCAUCGCAUGGUGAUAGGAAGAAAGGGGAAACCCGCUUUCAGAUGGGCCCGCGUCCCAUCAGCUAGUUGGUAAGGUAAAGGCUUACCAAGGCGACGACGGGUAGCCGGUCUGAGAGGAUGUACGGCCACACUGGGACUGAGAUACGGCCCAGACUCCUACGGGAGGCAGCAGGUUGGGAAUCGUUAGGCAAUGGACGAAAGUCUGACCUAGCGACGCCGCGUGAGGGAAGAAGGCCUUCGGGUUGUAAACCUCUGUCAUGGGGGAAGAAGUAAGUGACGGUACCCCAAGAGGAAGCCCCUGCUAACUACGUG